GGGUUGUGAGGUUAAGCGACCAAGCGUACACGGUGGAUGCCCUGGCAGUCAGAGGCGAUGAAGGACGUGCUAAUCUGCGAAAAGCGCCGGUAAGGUGAUAUGAACCGUUAUAACCGGCGAUGUCCGAAUGGGGAAACCCAGUGUGACUCGUCACACUAUCAUUAACUGAAUCCAUAGGUUAAUGAGGCGAACCGGGGGAACUGAAACAUCUAAGUACCCCGAGGAAAAGAAAUCAACCGAGAUUCCCCCAGUAGCGGCGAGCGAACGGGGAGGAGCCCAGAGCCUGAAUCAGCAUGUGUGUUAGUGGAAGCGUCUGGAAAGGCGCGCGAUACAGGGUGAGAGCCCCGUACACAAAAGCGCAUAUGCUGUGAGCUCGAUGAGUAGGGCGGGACACGUGGUAUCCUGUCUGAAUAUGGGGGGACCAUCCUCCAAGGCUAAAUACUCCUGACUGACCGAUAGUGAACCAGUACCGUGAGGGAAAGGCGAAAAGAACCCCGGCGAGGGGAGUGAAACAGAACCUGAAACCGUGUACGUACAAGCAGUGGGAGCC
rnacentral:rRNA from 4 species